UACGUAGGUCGCAAGCGUUGUCCGGAUUUACUGGGCGUAAAGAGCGCGCAGGCGGCUGGUCAAGUCCGAUGUGAAAUCUCCCGGCUCAACUGGGAAACUGCAUCGGAAACUGAUCGGCUUGAAGAUGGGAGAGGGUAGUGGAAUUCCCGGUGUAGUGGUGAAAUGCGUAGAGAUUGGGAAGAACACCAGUGGCGAAGGCGGCUAUCUGGACGGUUUCUGACGCUAAGACGCGAAAGCGUGGGGAGCAAACAGG
rnacentral:rRNA from 1 species